rnacentral:rRNA from 1 species
AACGUAGGUGGCAAGCGUUAUCCGGAUUUACUGGGCGUAAAGCGUGUGCAGGCGGUGUGAUAAGUGGUGUAUGAAAUCUCCGCGCUUAACGUGGAGGGGUUAUGCCAGACUGUCACACUCGAACCCAUCAGAGGAACGCGGAAUUCCAGGUGUAGCGGUGAAAUGCGUAGAUAUCUGGAGGAACACCGGUGGCGAAGGCGGCGUUCUGGACUGUUUCUGACACUGAAAAACGAAAGCCAGGGGAGCAAACGGG